UUUAUGGAGAGUUUGAUCCUGGCUCAGAGUGAACGCUGGCGGCGUGCCUAAUACAUGCAAGUCGAACGAUGAAGCUUCUAGCUUGCUAGAAUGCUGAUUAGUGGCGCACGGGUGAGUAACGCAUAGGUCAUGUGCCUCUUAGUUUGGGAUAGCCAUUGGAAACGAUGAUUAAUACCAGAUACUCCCUACGGGGGAAAGAUUUAUCGCUAAGAGAUCAGCCUAUGUCCUAUCAGCUUGUUGGUAAGGUAAUGGCUUACCAAGGCUAUGACGGGUAUCCGGCCUGAGAGGGUGAACGGACACACUGGAACUGAGACACGGUCCAGACUCCUACGGGAGGCAGCAGUAGGGAAUAUUGCUCAAUGGGGGAAACCCUGAAGCAGCAACGCCGCGUGGAGGAUGAAGGUUUUAGGAUUGUAAACUCCUUUUGUUAGAGAAGAUAAUGACGGUAUCUAACGAAUAAGCACCGGCUAACUCCGUGCCAGCAGCCGCGGUAAUACGGAGGGUGCAAGCGUUACUCGGAAUCACUGGGCGUAAAGAGCGCGUAGGCGGGAUAGUCAGUCAGGUGUGAAAUCCUAUGGCUUAACCAUAGAACUGCAUUUGAAACUACUAUUCUAGAGUGUGGGAGAGGUAGGUGGAAUUCUUGGUGUAGGGGUAAAAUCCGUAGAGAUCAAGAGGAAUACUCAUUGCGAAGGCGACCUGCUGGAACAUUACUGACGCUGAUUGCGCGAAAGCGUGGGGAGCAAACAGGAUUAGAUACCCUGGUAGUCCACGCCCUAAACGAUGGAUGCUAGUUGUUGGAGGGCUUAGUCUCUCCAGUAAUGCAGCUAACGCAUUAAGCAUCCCGCCUGGGGAGUACGGUCGCAAGAUUAAAACUUAAAGGAAUAGACGGGGACCCGCACAAGCGGUGGAGCAUGUGGUUUAAUUCGAAGAUACACGAAGAACCUUACCUAGGCUUGACAUUGAGAGAAUCCGCUAGAAAUAGUGGAGUGUCUGGCUUGCCAGACCUUGAAAACAGGUGCUGCACGGCUGUCGUCAGCUCGUGUCGUGAGAUGUUGGGUUAAGUCCCGCAACGAGCGCAACCCCCUUUCUUAGUUGCUAACAGGUCAUGCUGAGAACUCUAAGGAUACUGCCUCCGUAAGGAGGAGGAAGGUGGGGACGACGUCAAGUCAUCAUGGCCCUUACGCCUAGGGCUACACACGUGCUACAAUGGGGUGCACAAAGAGAAGCAAUACUGCGAAGUGGAGCCAAUCUUCAAAACACCUCUCAGUUCGGAUUGUAGGCUGCAACUCGCCUGCAUGAAGCUGGAAUCGCUAGUAAUCGCAAAUCAGCCAUGUUGCGGUGAAUACGUUCCCGGGUCUUGUACUCACCGCCCGUCACACCAUGGGAGUUGUGUUUGCCUUAAGUCAGGAUGCUAAAUUGGCUACUGCCCACGGCACACACAGCGACUGGGGUGAAGUCGUAACAAGGUAACCGUAGGUGAACCUGCGGUUGGAUCACCUCCUUUCUAGA
rnacentral:rRNA from 1 species